AUUGAACGCUGGCGGCAGGCUUAACACAUGCAAGUCGAGCGGAGUGGUGGUGCUUGCACUAUCACUUAGCGGCGGACGGGUGAGUAAUGCUUAGGAAUCUGCCUAUUAGUGGGGGACAACAUUUCGAAAGGAAUGCUAAUACCGCAUACGUCCUACGGGAGAAAGCAGGGGAUCUUCGGACCUUGCGCUAAUAGGUGAGCCUAAGUCGGAUUAGCUAGUUGGUGGGGUAAAGGCCUACCAAGGCGACGAUCUGUAGCGGGUCUGAGAGGAUGAUCCGCCACACUGGGACUGAGACACGGCCCAGACUCCUACGGGAGGCAGCAGUGGGGAAUAUUGGACAAUGGGCGGAAGCCUGAUCCAGCCAUGCCGCGUGUGUGAAGAAGGCCUUAUGGUUGUAAAGCACUUUAAGCGAGGAGGAGGCUACUUUAGUUAAUACCUAGAGAUAGUGGACGUUACUCGCAGAAUAAGCACCGGCUAACUCUGUGCCAGCAGCCGCGGUAACAC
rnacentral:rRNA from 1 species